CGGGAACUCAAAGGAGACUGCCAGUGAUAAACUGGAGGAAGGUGGGGAUGACGUCAAGUCAUCAUGGCCCUUACGACCAGGGCUACACACGUGCUACAAUGGCGCAUACAAAGAGAAGCGACCUCGCGAGAGCAAGCGGACCUCAUAAAGUGCGUCGUAGUCCGGAUUGGAGUCUGCAACUCGACUCCAUGAAGUCGGAAUCGCUAGUAAUCGUGGAUCAGAAUGCCACGGUGAAUACGUUCCCGGGCCUUGUACACACCGCCCGUCACACCAUGGGAGUGGGUUGCAAAAGAAGUAGGUAGCUUAACCUUCGGGAGGGCGCUUACCACUUUGUGAUUCAUGACUGGGGUGA
rnacentral:rRNA from 1 species